rnacentral:tRNA from 1 species
GGGUGAUUACCCAAGUCCUACUGAAGGGAGCAGUCUUGAAAACUGUAAGAGCUUUCACGGCGCGGGGGUUCAAAUCCCUCAUCACCCGCCA